GUACAAUGGCAGUAGGUUACCUGAAGAAGUGGGAAAGUCCUCUGAUUCCUUCAGAUAUCCAACACCUCUCAGAUCUGCCUUUGUACAAGUCAUGAGCAGCACACCAUGUGGCCUGAGGAUACUGGGACCCAGGGACAGCUCUUGGGCACAUGCAGUGUCUAUGCCCAGACAGGUUCCCCUUGUACUUAUGAGCAUCUACACUGACUCUGCUGGGACCUCACCCUGAACUGCCCAAGGAGAAUGAGUGCCUCUGGAUACUCCUGAUAUUGAAGACUCAGAGAGCAGAGAUGAUGCUGCAAACCCUUCUCAUGAGCCAAACACAUGGUGAUCCUGGUUCCCUGUGGAAAUCUGAUGCCACAUAGGAUACCUCUCUCCUGUUGUAUAACACAGAGAGAUGUGCUCUUUCCAAUUAGCCCGCAAAGAAGGAUUUUCACAGUAACUCAAGAUGAAAUCAUGGCUUGAAGUGAGAAGGCGUGAACAAGCUGCAGAUUUGCAGGCGGAUGGGAGAGGGCAGGGAGGAGGAGAUGGACAAUGCAUGUUUUUUUGUGGAU